rnacentral:rRNA from 1 species
GACGAACGCUGGCGGCGUGCCUAAUACAUGCAAGUAGAACGCACAGUUUAUACCGUAGCUUGCUACACCAUAAACUGUGAGUUGCGAACGGGUGAGUAACGCGUAGGUAACCUGCCUGGUAGCGGGGGAUAACUAUUGGAAACGAUAGCUAAUACCGCAUAAUAUUGAUUAUUGCAUGAUAAUUGAUUGAAAGAUGCUAUUGCAUCCCUACCAGAUGGACCUGCGUUGUAUUAGCUAGUAGGUGAGGUAACGGCUCACCUAGGCGACGAUACAUAGCCGACCUGAGAGGGUGAUCGGCCACACUGGGACUGAGACACGGCCCAGACUCCUACGGGAGGCAGCAGUAGGGAAUCUUCGGCAAUGGACGAAAGUCUGACCGAGCAACGCCGCGUGAGUGAAGAAGGUUUUCGGAUCGUAAAGCUCUGUUGUAAGAGAAGAACGGGUGUGAGAGUGGAAAGUUCACACUGUGACGGUAUCUUACCAGAAAGGGACGGCUAACUACGUG